rnacentral:lncRNA from 1 species
CGGCACCGCUUUGUACCCGAUGGUGCUGCGCUAAGAUCAGCAUGAUAUCCAUGGCGAUUAUGUCUCUCUUCGCUGCCUUCAUGAUCUACGCAUUCAGGGAAGAUACUUUCGUGGAUUUAGUAAACUGGGCGGCAACGUGGAAUACUUCCAGCAUCAGAGCAAGGUUUGUAGCAACGCAGGCUCUCAUUCCGGAGGCAGAAAACAUCACGGAAUUCGGGAUUCUCAAGCGGAACGUGCCUUGAAGGCGCGGUGCUUACUGCCUGGCGUAAGGAUCCAUCAAGGUUGAAAUAAAAGGAUGACCUUUGUUUUCAUGCCACACACUUUCACACACGCAGUUCUUGUGUUAUUAGGUGGGCUACCCCUGCUUUA